GACGAACGCUGGCGGCGUGCUUAACACAUGCAAGUCGAACGAAGUGGCGAACGGGUGAGUAACGCGUAAUCAACCUGCCAUUCAGAGGGGGAAAAACGGUGGAAACGACUGCUAAUACCGCAUACUGAAGGAGGGGAGUGCGUCUGAUUAGCUAGUUGGCGGGGUAACGGCCCACCAAGGCGAUGAUAAGUAGCCGGUCUUAGGAGAUGAACGGCCACAAUGGGGCGGGGGCACGGCCCAGACUCCUACGGGAGGCAGCAGUGGGGAAUCUUCCGCAAUGGACGAAAGUCUGACAGAGCAACGCCGUGGGAGUGAUGAAGGGCUUCGGGUUGUAAAGCUCUGUUGAUCGGGACGCGGUACCGGAAUAGAAAGCCACGGCUAACUACGUGCCAGCAGCCGCGGUAAUAC
rnacentral:rRNA from 1 species